GAUGAACGCUAGCUACAGGCUUAACACAUGCAAGUCGAGGGGCAGCAUGGUCUUAGCUUGCUAAGGCCGAUGGCGACCGGCGCACGGGUGAGUAACGCGUAUCCAACCUGCCUUACACUCUUGGACAGCCUUCUGAAAGGGAGAUUAAUACAAGAUGUUAUCAUGAGUAAGCAUUUUCGCAUGAUUAAAGGUUUACCGGUGUAAGAUGGGGAUGCGUUCCAUUAGAUAGUAGGCGGGGUAACGGCCCACCUAGUCUUCGAUGGAUAGGGGUUCUGAGAGGAAGGUCCCCCACAUUGGAACUGAGACACGGUCCAAACUCCUACGGGAGGCAGCAGUGAGGAAUAUUGGUCAAUGGACGAGAGUCUGAACCAGCCAAGUAGCGUGAAGGAUGAAGGUUCUAUGGAUUGUAAACUUCUUUUAUACGGGAAUAAACGGAUCCACGUGUGGAUUUUUGCAUGUACCGUAUGAAUAAGGAUCGGCUAACUCCGUGCCAGCAGCCGCGGUAAUACGGAGGAUCCGAGCGUUAUCCGGAUUUAUUGGGUUUAAAGGGAGCGUAGAUGGGUUGUUAAGUCAGUUGUGAAAGUUUGCGGCUCAACCGUAAAAUUGCAAUUGAUACUGGCAGUCUUGAGUACAGUUGAGGUAGGCGGAAUUCGUGGUGUAGCGGUGAAAUGCUUAGAUAUCACGAAGAACUCCGAUUGCGAAAGGCAGCUUACUAACCUGUAACUGACGUUGAUGCUCGAAAGUGUGGGUAUCAAACAGGAUUAGAUACCCUGGUAGUCCACACGGUAAACGAUGAAUACUCGCUGUAGGCGAUAUACAGUCUGCGGCCAAGCGAAAGCAUUAAGUAUUCCACCUGGGGAGUACGCCGGCAACGGUGAAACUCAAAGGAAUUGACGGGGGCCCGCACAAGCGGAGGAACAUGUGGUUUAAUUCGAUGAUACGCGAGGAACCUUACCCGGGCUUAAAUUGCAACCGAAUAUGGCGGAAACGCUAUAGCUAGCAAUAGCGGUUGUGAAGGUGCUGCAUGGUUGUCGUCAGCUCGUGCCGUGAGGUGUCGGCUUAAGUGCCAUAACGAGCGCAACCCUUGCCGAUAGUUACUAACAGGUUAUGCUGAGGACUCUGUCGGGACUGCCAUCGUAAGAUGUGAGGAAGGUGGGGAUGACGUCAAAUCAGCACGGCCCUUACGUCCGGGGCUACACACGUGUUACAAUGGGGGGUACAGAGGGCUGCUACCACGCAAGUGGAUGCCAAUCCCAAAAACCUCUCUCAGUUCGGAUUGAAGUCUGCAACCCGACUUCAUGAAGCUGGAUUCGCUAGUAAUCGCGCAUCAGCCACGGCGCGGUGAAUACGUUCCCGGGCCU
rnacentral:rRNA from 1 species